CGCAUGGCUCCAUGAAGCAAGAGGAGGAGGCAGAGCGCGAGAGGUCCCGUCCGCCCCAGCCGCGUCUGGGCCAGGAUAAAAGCAAAACCAUAUUCCUGCUGCUGUCAGUUAUGAUGCACUGAGAAAACUUCAGAGACCUAAACUUUUUCCAGAGAAGAGAAGCUUUACUGGUGUUCCAGCCCUAAGAAACUUAAAUCCUCAGUGUGAAACCUUUGUUCAAGAAAACGGCAGAUGCUCUGUUGAAUCCACUGGAGAUUGUUCUGAUACUAAGGACAAGUAUCAACCAUCUUUCCUGUGAAAAAUUCCCUCUCGUACUUUAGUUCUGUGGAUCCAAAAUUUAUAGCAUUCUUCUACCACCACAGGGG
rnacentral:lncRNA from 1 species